CGUGAGGUUCAGACUGCUUAAGGGAGAGCCGCGGUGGCCAAGUGGCGGCAGCGGCUGCGGCGGCGGUGGCUGCGGCGGCGGCGGGCUCCAGAGGCUGCGUCUUCAGGCCUGUCCUGGAAGUAGGUGUUUUUGGAGAUUUGUAGAAGAUUUCGGUGUGAAAGUCCUGCCUUUGGUACCACUUGUGACCAGAAAAGCAGUGCAGCCGUACAAGGACCCAGAAGGGUGAGGGCUCUGCUGGGCAAACAGCUAAAGUGUGACUCAAAACAGCUGGACCAUAGUGUCAGACUACCAGAGAGCCUGUGACAGAGGGGAGUGGCCUUCAGCUCUGCGUCACCGUGGAGGCCGAGCCUUCUUUGAGCAGCGCCUGUGAGUUCUGGCUUGCCAGCCUCGGGGGAGGAGCUGCAUUUUAGCAGGCUGCAGCUGACAAGAAGCUUCAAGAGGUGUCUUGAGAUUGGAGUGACUCCAGAAAGGCAGCGUAACUACAUACGUGCCCCACAGGGUGAAAGACCUGUUUGGAAGUCAGCUGGCGUGAGGGUCACACAGCCAGACUACCU
rnacentral:lncRNA from 1 species